rnacentral:rRNA from 1 species
GAUGAACGCUGACAGAAUGCUUAACACAUGCAAGUCAACUUGAAUUUGGGUUUUUAACUUAGGUUUGGGUGGCGGACGGGUGAGUAACGCGUAAAGAACUUGCCUCACAGCUAGGGACAACAUUUGGAAACGAAUGCUAAUACCUAAUAUUAUGAUAAUAGGGCAUCCUAUAAUUAUGAAAGCUAUAAGCGCUGUGAGAGAGCUUUGCGUCCCAUUAGCUAGUUGGAGAGGUAACGGCUCACCAAGGCGAUGAUGGGUAGCCGGCCUGAGAGGGUGAUCGGCCACAAGGGGACUGAGACACGGCCCUUACUCCUACGGAAGGCAGCAGUGGGGAAUAUUGGACAAUGGACCAAGAGUCUGAUCCAGCAAUUCUGUGUGCACGAUGAAGUUUUUCGGAAUGUAAAGUGCUUUCAGUUGGGAAGAAAGAAAUGACGGUACCAACAGAAGAAGUGACGGCUAAAUACGUGCCAGCAGCCGCGGUAAUACGUAUGUCACGAGCGUUAUCCGGAUUUAUUGGGCGUAAAGCGCGUCUAGGUGGUUAUGUAAGUCUGAUGUGAAAAUGCAGGGCUCAACUCUGUAUUGCGUUGGAAACUGUAUAACUAGAGUACUGGAGAGGUAAGCGGAACUACAAGUGUAGAGGUGAAAUUCGUAGAUAUUUUGUAGGAAUGCCGAUGGGGAAGCCAGCUUUACUGGACAGAUACUGACGCUGAAGCGCGAAAGCGUGGGUAGCAAACAGGAUUAUAUACCCUGGUAGUCCAAUGGCGAAUUCCACAGUGGAUAUCAAGCUUAUCGAUACCGUCGACCUCGAGGGGGGGCCCGGUACCAAUAUUUUUGUUCCCUUUAUGAGGGGUUAAUUAUUUUUUCGCCCUGCCUUGCUCUUUUGCCUGUCUUGCCUAUCUCGCCGUUCUUCUGAUCUGCUCCUCUCUGCCUUGUUGUGUUCUUCUUUUUUGUCCUUGUGCCUGUCUCUUUGUCUUUUGUCUCCGUCUAGCUUUGCUGUAUCGUCUACUUUGUGUUACUGUGUUUGCUUUCUUCUCUCCUCUGCCCCCUGCUCAUGCUCUUUUUUUUCUAUGUUUGUGUUGAUCUUUUCUGUUGCCUGCCUCCUAUGCCACCCUUCUGUACUACUGUGUGUAGUGCCUCCCUGCUGCUGACUUUUUCUGCUGCUGCCUGCUUCUCUGCACCUACUGCUGCUGUCUUGCCUGACCAUUGACUGUUGCCUUAGUGCCUUGCGUAGCUGGCCAUGCUGCCUGCCCCCCUGCCUGUGUGCCCUAUUGCUGUACUAUAUCUGCUACCUGAGAUAUAGUUAUGUCCUACCUUAUGUAUGUACCCCGAGUGCCCUGGCACCCCUGUUAUGCAUGUGAUCUGUUGAUGUA